GGAUUGCCUCAGUAACGGCGAGUGAAGCGGCAAUAGCUCAAAUUUGAAAUCUGGCCCUUUCAGGGUCCGAGUUGUAAUUUGCAGAGGGCGCUUUGGAGUCGGCAGCAGCCUAAGUUCCUUGGAACAGGUCAUCAUAGAGGGUGAGAAUCCCGUAUGUGGCUGCUUGCCUUCGCCGUGUAAAGCCCCUUCGAUGAGUCGAGUUGUUUGGGAAUGCAGCUCUAAAUGGGAGGUAAAUUUCUUCUAAAGCUAAAUAUUGGCCAGAGACCGAUAGCGCACAAGUAGAGUGAUCGAAAGAUGAAAAGCACUUUGGAAAGAGAGUCAAAAAGCACGUGAAAUUGUUGAAAGGGAAGCGCUUGCAGCCAGACGUGCCCGUAGUUGCUCAUCUGGGGUUCUCCCCAGUGCACUCUUCUAUGGGCAGGCCAGCAUCAGUCCGGGCGGUUGGAGAAAGACCUGUGUCA
rnacentral:rRNA from 1 species